GUUGUCAUAGUGUUUGAGACAGUUUGGAAGAGAGCGACUUUUAUGUGCAACGCGUGCGAAAUUCAGGAUGCAAAAGAUACCAUUGACAGUCUGCACGUGAACAAGAACUGCAAGAUUUGCUGACCUCAAAGUAAUCUGAAGAGGAAGCUCUCCUUUGGCAGCAGAGUACUUCAUGCUUUCUGUGGACCCGACCAUUGUGAAUGGUCACAUCAGUGCCUUCACCGAUGCUCUUGUGUUGAUGUUUGCCAAUAUUGGAGUUCUUGCAGAGAUGCCUCAAGAUCAACCCAGACAAGGGAUCAAGAGUGGAGAACAAUGCUACCAGAAAGCAGCUGGCGGUCAGUCCAAAGGUUCUUUCCCUGAU